rnacentral:rRNA from 1 species
GACGAACGCUGGCGGCGCGCUUAACACAUGCAAGUCGAGCGAAGCGGCGGACGGGUGAGUAACACGUGAGUAACCUGCCUUAGACAUUGGGAUAGCCUCGGGAAACCGGGAUUAAUACCAAAUGGUCUAAGAUGGACUCGCGUCCCAUUAGCUAGUUGGUGAGGUAACGGCCCACAAAGGCGACGAUGGGUAGCCGGCGUGAGAGGGUGAACGGUCACAUUGGAACUGAGAAACGGUGCGAACUAUACGGGAGGCAGCAGUGGGGGAUAGUGCACAAUGGAGGGAACUCUGAGGCAGCGAAGCCGCGUGAACGAAGAAGGCGGUAGAGUCGUAAAGUGCUUUUAUAUGGGAAGCGGUACCAUAAGAAAAAGCCCCGGCUAACUACGUGCCAGCAGCCGCGGUAAUUC